GCAAACUUGGUCAUUUAGAGGAAGUAAAAGUCGUAACAAGGUUUCCGUAGGUGAACCUGCGGAAGGAUCAUUACUGAGUUAGGGUCUUUCAUGGCCCGACCUCCAACCCUUGUGUUUAACUAUACCACGUUGCUUCGGCGGGCCCGUCCUCUCGAGGACCGCUGGACUCCCCUGGGGGUCUGGCCCGUGCCCGUCGGUGGCCCAUUAUCAAAACUCUUGCAUAAACCAUGUUGUCUGAGUAUAAAACAAGCAAUUAAAAUUAAAACUUUCAACAACGGAUCUCUUGGUUCUGGCAUCGAUGAAGAACGCAGC
rnacentral:misc_RNA from 1 species